rnacentral:lncRNA from 1 species
GCCUAAUAUUUACUAAAUGCUUUCCUUCUGUUUCAGAAUGUGAGGCCCUUGGGGGAACAGACUGUGCUUCAUUCAUCUGUAGACCCCUAAGCCUAGAAGAGGGCCCAAUGGGGACUCUGUGAGAUGUGUACCGCGAUGGACACAUGGAAGGAUGGAGAACCAGCUGUGCUCCAUUAUGUAUGUGUGGCACCUUGGACUCUUUAUCCCUGCAAUGGAUCGAAUGUGUUUUGCGCCUCCUCGUUAAUAUGCUGAAUCCUAACGCCGAGGUGAUGACUCUGGAAGAUGGACUUUGAGGGUGAGUAGGUCAUGGGAGUAGAGCCACUAUGGAUGGGGCCAGGUCUUUAUAAAAGACCCCUGAAAGAUCCUCUUGCUCCUUCUGCCCUUUAGGACACUGCAAAAUGCCAGCCAUCUAUGAACUAGAAGUGGAACCUCACCAGACACUUAAGCUACCAACACCUUGAUUUUGAACUUCCCAGCCUCUAGACUGUGAGAAAUAAAUUUCUGUUAUUUACAAGCCACUCAAUCG